rnacentral:rRNA from 1 species
UCGCGAUAAGUAAUGUGAAUUGCAGAUUUUCCGUGAAUCAUCGAAUCUUUGAACGCACCUUGCGCUCCUCGGUAUUCCGAGGAGCAUGCCUGUUCGAGUGUCAUCGAAAUCUCGAAUCGAAGCUUGGACCUGGUCCGAGCUUCGUUCGGACAGUGGGAGUCUGCGGGCGAGCCUCGCUACGUCCGCUCUCCUCAAAAGCAUUAGCCGUGGACGCCAGCCUUGCAUGGCACGGCCUCUUCGACGUCGUAAUGAUCGUCGCGGGCUGGAAGUGCGAGGCGUGGACCGACCACGCUUCCCUAGACUUGCGAGCCCGUUCUCCUCGGGGAACGGCCGCGCCCCCAUCGAUGCUUGACCUCGAAUCAGGUAGGACUACCCGCCGAACUUAA